rnacentral:rRNA from 1 species
UACGAAGGGGGCUAGCGUUGCUCGGAAUCACUGGGCGUAAAGGGUGCGUAGGCGGGUUUUUAAGUCAGAGGUGAAAUCCUGGAGCUCAACUCCAGAACUGCCUUUGAUACUGAAAGUCUUGAGUAUGGGAGAGGUGAGUGGAACUGCGAGUGUAGAGGUGAAAUUCGUAGAUAUUCGCAAGAACACCAGUGGCGAAGGCGGCUCACUGGCCCGGUAUUGACGCUGAGGCGCGAAAGCCAGGGGAGCAAAGCGGG